rnacentral:rRNA from 1 species
AUUGAACGCUUGCGGCAGGCCUAACACAUGCAAGUCGAACGGUAACAGGAAACAGCUUGCUGUUUCGCUGACGAGUGGCGGACGGGUGAGUAAUGUCUGGGAAACUGCCUGAUGGAGGGGGAUAACUACUGGAAACGGUAGCUAAUACCGCAUAACGUCGCAAGACCAAAGAGGGGGACCCUCGGGCCUCUUGCCAUCGGAUGUGCCCAGAUGGGAUUAGCUUGUUGGUGGGGUAACGGCUCACCAAGGCGACGAUCCCUAGCUGGUCUGAGAGGAUGACCAGCCACACUGGAACUGAGACACGGUCCAGACUCCUACGGGAGGCAGCAGUGGGGAAUAUUGCACAAUGGGCGCAAGCCUGAUGCAGCCAUGCCGCGUGUAUGAAGAAGGCCUUCGGGUUGUAAAGUACUUUCAGCGGGGAGGAAGGGAGUAAAGUUAAUACCUUUGCUCAUUGACGUUACCCGCAGAAGAAGCACCGGCUAACUCCGUGCCAGCAGCCGCGGUAAUACGGAGGGUGCAAGCGUUAAUCGGAAUUACUGGGCGUAAAGCGCACGCAGGCGGUUUGUUAAGUCAGAUGUGAAAUCCCCGGGCUCAACCUGGGAACUGCAUCUGAUACUGGCAAGCUUGAGUCUCGUAGAGGGGGGUAGAAUUCCAGGUGUAGCGGUGAAAUGCGUAGAGAUCUGGAGGAAUACCGGUGGCGAAGGCGGCCCCCUGGACGAAGACUGACGCUCAGGUGCGAAAGCGUGGGGAGCAAACAGGAUUAGAUACCCUGGUAGUCCACGCCGUAAACGAUGUCGACUUGGAGGUUGUGCCCUUGAGGCGUGGCUUCCGGAGCUAACGCGUUAAGUCGACCGCCUGGGGAGUACGGCCGCAAGGUUAAAACUCAAAUGAAUUGACGGGGGCCCGCACAAGCGGUGGAGCAUGUGGUUUAAUUCGAUGCAACGCGAAGAACCUUACCUGGUCUUGGCAUCCACGGAAGUUUUCAGAGAUGAGAAUGUGCCUUCGGGAACCGUGAGACAGGUGCUGCAUGGCUGUCGUCAGCUCGUGUUGUGAAAUGUUGGGUUAAGUCCCGCAACGAGCGCAACCCUUAUCCUUUGUUGCCAGCGGUCCGGCCGGGAACUCAAAGGAGACUGCCAGUGAUAAACUGGAGGAAGGUGGGGAUGACGUCAAGUCAUCAUGGCCCUUACGACCAGGGCUACACACGUGCUACAAUGGCGCAUACAAAGAGAAGCGACCUCGCGAGAGCAAGCGGACCUCAUAAAGUGCGUCGUAGUCCGGAUUGGAGUCUGCAACUCGACUCCAUGAAGUCGGAAUCGCUAGUAAUCGUGGAUCAGAAUGCCACGGUGAAUACGUUCCCGGGCAA